UUUUGCUCAAGGAAGGGAGGAGGUAUAGAAGAGAAGAAUUUGGAUUCUCACUGUAACUUGGCUAGUGGGCAAAAUAACCGGCAGAAAGCUUGAUAACUCAAAGGAUGGCCCAGUCCUGAUAUGCUUAAGCUCUAGAGAGUUGCCUAUGUUGUCUUUGCAGAAAACAAUCCACAUUUGUGCAGGAUGCAAACUGAAUUCCUUUGAACUUCACUGUAAAAUCCACAUUUCUCAAAAUGUAUUUUAGAAGAUUUUGCUGGAAGAUUGGCAAAAGCUACAGAUACCAAAAAGUUAUUUUCAUUGGAAUUUACAACUAAAUAUCCUGAGUGACAGAUAAGCAUGGGUGAAGGUCUCACAAAGAAAAACCAUAAAUAGGUGAGGUGUUGAAUAUGUUAAUUAGCUUGAUGUAACCAUUUCACAAUGUAUACAUAUAUUGAAGCA
rnacentral:lncRNA from 1 species